GUCAGGAUGGACGAGCGGUUUAAGGCGGUGCAAUCAGGUUGCGUUGGGCGUUGGUUCGAAUCCCACUUCUGACA